GAAAGGUUACAGGAAACUGUGGCUGGACGCAGCGAAGAAGGAUGAAGAUCCCGGCGUCCCAAUUUGA
rfam:Lachnospiraceae bacterium 9_1_43BFAA genomic scaffold supercont1.4, whole genome shotgun sequence.